AGAUGACUUUGGGAGAUUAUGACACC
rnacentral:piRNA from 1 species